rnacentral:piRNA from 1 species
AGGACCUGCAUAGUGAAAGUGACUGG